AACCGAGGAUCAUGAAUAUACAGAAGUUAGCACCUUCCUAACAUCCCUCGGCUAUCUUAUUUCCAGAGAAUUACAGUAUGAAAACAAUGGGAUUAGAGCACUAUAUACUCCAAUCCUCUCACCCCCGAUCCCCAAAGUGAAUCUAAACAGAGCUGGAUUUGCUUCUGGUAUAGCUGAAAUUAAGACAAAGGGGUAUGUCUGAGAUAAUUUUUUUUUCCUGUAAAGCUUAAUCUUAGAAAAUGCCUGUCUGUGCUACAGAAAUGGAUUGCAUAUAAUAUGACAACCAUCUUUUAUAGAGGCAAACCAGACUCGUUGAGCUCUAACAUUGUAAAGAAAAAGGCUUUACAGGUAUAAUUAACCUGCGGAAUGUCCUUCCACAAGAUACUCCUGAAGUAUUGGCGUUAAUACCAUCUGUCUUCAUAAUUCAGGGCAUCAGUGGCCUACCAGCUGAGAUCAAGAAGCAAUCUACUGUCUCUCUUCAUGGCAUAUCUCUGCUGAAUGAAUUAAGAGGUCAUUGUGACUUUUUUAGCAAUGGUCAAUGUUGAAGAUGGAGGAGGUUUUGGAUUCUAAGGGAAAAUGUGCAGUUAUUUCCAGAAAUACUCAAGGGGGUCGCUGCUCGGCAUGUGGACAAGAAGAAAUCUCCUGCAUGUGUCAGCAAGACUCAUAAGCAGAAAGAGAUUGGUACGUCAGCAAGAAAAGUUUUCUUCCUGGGGAGAAAUACAAGCAAACAUGAAGACAAGAGGACUCAGCGUGAUCCAUGUAAUGCUCUCCUUUCCCUGACGUGUACUCAAGAAUCAGCUAUCUCACAGCUCCUGCGCUUAAGCCACAGAAAAAGUAGGACACUGGCACCAUAGAAACCAUUUGCCCCACACCUCUGUGCGGUUCCUGCAGGCCUGGGAGGAGAUCUGCCUGGGGACCCGCAACGUCCUGUCCCGAGCUCCCUGAGGUGCGUUACAACUGCGAACACUGCCUCUUUCUCAGAGCAGCGUUUAAGCAUACAACACAUUGCCCAGCUCGUGCCCAGGCACAUGCGGAGCAUGGGCAAGUGGGAAGUCCUUCGGGAAUAAACACAGGGAGCUUCUGCUGAUGAACCUGCAGGGCCUAAAAGCUUCUUGAGCACCUACUUGCUGUCCCUUGGCCAGUAUGGAGCAUUUGUACCGUGAGGAAUCAGGUUAAGUUUUGGGGACCCAGAAGUGAAAUCCAUCUAAAAAAGCAUCUUCCUUUGUAAGCCAACCUCCCCUGGCUGGCAGAUUGGGAAUUUUGCCUUCCCUAAUGGAAGCUGAGCUUUCUGAUUGCUGUCUGAAUAAAUAGGAACUUGAUGAAGCCACCUUUAUACUGAACAAUCCCAUACAUCAGCAGCCAUCCCUUCGAAUUCAAGGGCUUUAUUGGUGCUAAGAGAGGAUAUCAGAAACCUGGUCUUAAAUCACAUCUUCCAGGUAAUAAGCAGAAAUGGAAGAGAAAAGAAAGCAGUAGACUUAUGGGAUUUAAGGAGUUUCUUCUGAGAAAAAAAAAUCCAUCCUGCUGCUGAUGGCCAGAUGCUCAUGUGUAUCUGGAGAUGUGCAAAUGAAAGCAGGGUGUAAAGCUGUUAGCAGUGGUUCAUGGCAACAGACCAGCUCCUGUCAAGGAAAAGCAGGUUAGGUAAACUUUUCAGAUGUUUAGAGGUGAAUCUUUUCAUUUGUGCACAGCCUUCGUUUGACCCAACGAUUUCACAUCAUUAUCAAUUGCUUUGUUCGUCCAUAUCAAACUUCCUUCUUGCGCUUUAUUGGUUUUUGCUCUUGCUGACCUCUUCCAGCAGUUUACUUUCUAAGACCCUGAAAGCUUCAUCAUGACUGUUCACUACACCUCAGCUAGAGCUGAGAUUAAAAGUUAAAAAAGAAAAAGAGUGACUGCAAUAGCUGAGAAGAGAGAAGAGCUUUCAGCAGCAGCCUGGUGGCACUCUGGGGCUUUCCUCCAAUGCAGAAAUGUAUGGACUUGCACCUCCACUGCCAUGCAGAUGUCUUCAGGAUGACAGAGAUCAGCAAAUAACUUGUGAUCCAAAAAGGAAACAGCACUGCUAGCAACAGGACUGCUGUUCAACGUUGGUGGUGACGGCCAGAAUCAUUCCAGUAACCAGCAGAGGGGAAAAACAUGCACACGCAGAGCCCUCUCCCACCUGUGGCAGCCAGAGCACCUUUCCGACGUCCCUCCUCACCUGAUGACACAAUCCAUCAGCGCCCACUGAAAUCAAAUGCAGCUAAUUGGAAGGUGAUGACAGCCCAGGGACUGCUGGAUUUGCAUGCUAAUUCUUCUAUUUUAGUGUCACACAACAAACUAAAGCUGCCACUGAGGAAGCGAGAAGUCUGAGAUUGAUCCUGACCCAGUAGUAUUAUAUGUAGGUCCUAUGAGAACAAUAUUUGCUCUUGAUGACCAUUGGAACAUACUAAUUUAAAGAACUCUAACAUACUCUCCAAAGAACGCCUUCCACAUUUUUUUCACAUGUGAGAUCUCCCAGACUUUCAAAGCCAUCAGUAAAGUUCGAACUACUUUUUAGUUUGCAUCUUUUCUCCUCUGAGGUUCAAAGUGGCAGCAGCACCACCUCGCCAUCCAUCUGGGAUCCGACUCCUUCAUCGAGCAGAGGGCUGCGUACCUGUCUCAGCCAGAGGCCUUGUGGCUUUCAGCAGCUGAACACUUUGGGAUGCAACUGAACCAGGGUUUUCAGCUGGACAACGUCUGAACUAACUGCAAAUCACAAUGUCACCAUGAAUGUCCACUGGCAAACUGGAUAAGAAAGAGUGUCACAGUGCAGGACAACCUAGAAGAUGACAGAUAUUUCCAGGCAUAGCAAUGAUGAGAUCAAAUUCCCCUCAACCUGCCUUGUUUGCUGAUCUUUUAAUCAGAUUCAACUUCACUGCAGCUACAGCACAAGGUUCCCUGACAAUGUAUGACAACGUGUGACAGAAAAAUAUUUUGAUUUUUUUCUGACCAUUUGAUGCUAUUUCAGAUAUAUCUGAAGCCCCAAUAGCAUCUGUUAAAUCUACCAGACUAUUUUAGUGGAGGGUUUUAUAUGUGCAUAAUUAAACAGGAGUGUUUGGGGUUUGUGUUCACUUGAUUGUAGUGGAAUCCAAACAGGAAAGCCGGGAAAUGAUCUAAACCCUUUGAGGUUAACGUGCCAUUAAAGCGCAUCAAUGACCAAAGAGGACAUUAUUAAAAAGCAGCCAGCCUAGCUCAAUAAGAACCACUAUGUGAAGCAAGAGCCCAUGGAACAACACCCAGGGCUGCACGCAAUCCCGCAGGGAUGUGUAUUUCAUCCCCUGGCUUCGUCUCUCCAAAUUUCCUCUGAACCGCUCCUGAGCUGCAUUCUUGAAAAAGAAAAAUGCCAGCAACUACCGAAUGCGUCUUAUCAACCUUUUCCCUACAAUCUGUUUCGUAUUCCUCUCACACCUUUGUUCUCACAGUGACUUGGGGAAAUGCUUGAAUCAAAGAUAAGGGAGAACAAGCAAAGGAAUGAAGAAAGAGACAAACAACAAAACAUCCCCCUUCCCAAACUUUUUGACUAAACUCCUCCGUGAAUCAUGUGUAUGAUUACAGCAAAGUUAAAACUACCUUCUUCUUCUCCAGUACUUAAUUCCUACUUUUAAAAUCAGGAUCCCUUUGAUCUUGAGAACUGAAAUGAUCUGGAAAUGAAACAGCCAUUGCUUUGCAGAAAAUCUGGAUAGGGUCCCAGACAUGGCUUUUACCUGGAAGGCUUCCAAAAUGGGACAAACUCUCUCUAGCUUGAGAACAAAUUGCAAGAGUUUUUUCUGUGUCUACUUCAGCUGUGGAGCACAGGCCCUGAUGUCUGCUAGUUCCCCAGAGAGCAGAUGUCAUAAUCUCUAAGGUGAACUGUGAAAAGUAUUGCCCCAUUUUUCCCCCCUGCCUCUCCUCUAAGGGUCACAGACUGGGAGAAUUUUAUUAAUGUGAAGACCUGAAGUUCUGGGCAGAAUUUUAAGUUGAGGAGAUGUUUGGUUGUAAUCCAGGCUAGAUCCAGCCAUGUGAGGGGUGGAGAGGGCAGAUGACCAGAAGAAUAUGUAGCAUUUGGAUUCUGUUUCAGGCACAGAAAUAUUGGACUGAUUUUGCGUGACCUGGUCCCAGAGCCAAACAGACUGUCAGUGUUGUUAAGAGACACAGAAGCUUGCUUUGCCCUAGUUAAGAAGUCCUGCUGAGAAAUCAAGCAUGUCUAUUUCUUUGAGUGUAUUUAUUUUAAUUAAUAUAUUUGCAUGUGUUGCAUGCAUACUUCAUUUAUAUUGGGAUUAUAAGUCCACCUGGUACUUGAAUUGGGAGAGUUUGAACUGGCAGACACCUACAUCAUGCUGUGUUACGCAGACAUGGACUGAUCCUACAAGGUCAGAUAGGUUGCUGGAUAGAGACAGUGUCUUUUCAGCUGUCUUUUUAGAGCUGGAAGAACUUGUCAAAGCAACCAAGACAAUCACCUUGCUUAUGAUCAGGAAGUUCUCACAGUGCCACUAUUUUAUCUUACAAAAUGAGUAAGAGGUCCAUAGCUGAAGGAUGGCAGUCCAUAAUAAAGAAACCUCUCGCUGUGGUGGAUGGCCAGUCACUGCACAGUGCAACACCACCGAUCUAGGAAGCGUAAAGGAGAAAGGAUGGCUGGGCAUCAAUGGUAAACAGAAAAUGUACUGAACUACCAUAGUUUGCUGAGAUAAUGAGAAUCACUUUCCCUUGAUUGUGUUAUUAAGGAACUAAAGAAUAACUAUCUGUUUUAAUAAAAGCCUUUUCCUUC